AUUUAAUGAUGAAUAUUUCAGUUCUGCUUCUGAUAUAAAUUGAAGAAAGCUUUACCCACAAUACUGAGGA
rfam:Papilio machaon contig6734, whole genome shotgun sequence.